rnacentral:lncRNA from 1 species
GAGGCUGACUUGGGAGGAUUGCUUGAGCCCAGGAGUUCCAGGCUGAAGUGAGCCAUGAUUGUGUCACUGCACUCCAGCUUGGAAAACAGAGUGAGAUCAUGACUCAAACAAAAAAAUUGGCUUCAGGAGGAAUUUCAUGGAACCUUGUAUUCUGUUGAAUACCAGAAUUAUAUCAGCAAUCCCCAAGCCCCAGAGUCACCAAACGGGCAUCAUCAUGACAGCAGACUCCAUCAUGAAUUCAUUGCACCACUCAGUGCCCUGAUGCUAUAACAUCGUGGAUUUAUUUUGUCCAGUGAGAGGACAAAAGCUGAAGCAUAGACAAUAUUAUAGGGUAGAAGGUUAACUAGACCCUAGUCAUGGGCUACAUUCUCUGUACCAACUUCAUAGCUCCAGUCAGAAAAUAAAUUCCUGCAUCCAGGAGAGGUGGAGUAAGAGAUACAGCUCACCUUGACCACAUUUCUUACUUCCGAGA